rnacentral:tRNA from 1 species
AAGAACUUAGUUAACUCAUAACAUUACUUUGUCAAGGUAAAAUAAUAGGUUAGAUUCCUAUAUUUCUUU